AAGUCGUAACAAGGUCUCCGUAGGUGAACCUGCGGAGGGAUCAUUAAUGAAUGGCUCGCUGAGCCUUCAACCUUGCAAACCAGUGGAAGCUAUGCGUGCUUCGACGCCUCGGCGUCGCUUUUAUGCUACAAUCAGUUAUUUGUGUCUGAAUCAAUCACAAGAAAAUAAAA
rnacentral:misc_RNA from 1 species